rnacentral:misc_RNA from 1 species
GAUGAAGAACGCAGCGAAAUGCGAUAAGUAAUGUGAAUUGCAGAAUUCAGUGAAUCAUCGAAUCUAUGAACGCACAUUGCGCCCGCCAGUAUUCUGGCGGGCAUGCCUGUUCGAGCGUCAUUACAACCCUCAGGCCCCCGGGCCUGGCGUUGGGGAUCGGCGGAAGCCCCCUGCGGGCACAACGCCGUCCCCCAAAUACAGUGGCGGUCCCGCCGCAGCUUCCAUUGCGUAGUAGCUAACACCUCGCAACUGGAGAGCGGCGCGGCCACGCCGUAAAACACCCAACUUCUGAAUGUUGACCUCGAAUCAGGUAGGAAUACCCGCUGAACUUAAGCAUAUCAAUAAGCGGAGGA